UCCAGACUCCUACGGGAGGCAGCAGUGGGGGAUAUUGCACAAUGGGGGGAACCCUGAUGCAGCGACGCCGCGUGGGUGAAGGAGCGUUUCGGCGCGUAAAGCCCUAUCGGCAGGGAAGAAGGAGGACGGUACCUGACUAAGAAGCCCCGGCUAACUACGUGCCAGCAGCCGCGGUAAUACGUAGGGGGCAAGCGUUAUCCGGAUUUACUGGGUGUAAAGGGGGCGCAGACGGCAGCGCAAGCCAGGAGUGAAAGCCCGGGGUCCAACCCCGGGACUGCUCUUGGAACUGCGCGGCUGGAGUGCAGGAGGGGCAGGCGGAAUUCCUAGUGUAGCGGUGAAAUGCGUAGAUAUUAGGAGGAACACCGGUGGCGAAGGCGGCCUGCUGGACUGUAACUGACGUUGAGGCUCGAAAGCGUGGGGAGCAAACAGGAUUAGAUACCCCAGUA
rnacentral:rRNA from 1 species